GACGAACGCUGGCGGCGUGCUUAACACAUGCAAGUCGAACGGAAAGGCCCUGCUUUUGUGGGGUGCUCGAGUGGCGAACGGGUGAGUAACACGUGAGUAACCUGCCCUUGACUUUGGGAUAACUUCAGGAAACUGGGGCUAAUACCGGAUAGGAGCUCCUGCUGCAUGGUGGGGGUUGGAAAGUUUCGGCGGUUGGGGAUGGACUCGCGGCUUAUCAGCUUGUUGGUGGGGUAGUGGCUUACCAAGGCUUUGACGGGUAGCCGGCCUGAGAGGGUGACCGGCCACAUUGGGAAGGAGAUCCGGCCCGGACGCUUACGGGAGGCAGCAGGGGGGAAUAUUGCACAAGGGGGGGAGGCCUGAUGCAGCAGGGCCGCGUGGGGGAUGACGGCCUUGGGGUUGUAAACCGCUUUCGCCUGUGACGAAGCGUGAGUGACGGGAAUGGGAAAAGAAGCACCGCCAAAUUACGU
rnacentral:rRNA from 1 species